rnacentral:rRNA from 1 species
UGCCAGCCGCCGCGGUAAUACAGAGGCCCCAAGCGUUAUCCGGAAUUAUUGGGCGUAAAGGGUGUGUAGGCGGUUUUAUUAGUCUUUCGUUAAAGAUCCGGGCUUAACCCGGAAAAAGCGAGAGAAACGGUAAAACUAGAGGGUGCGAGAGGUGAACAGAACUCAUGGUGUAGGGGUGAAAUCCGUUGAUAUCAUGGGGAAUACCAAAUGCGAAGGCAGUUCACUGGCGCAUUCCUGACGCUGAGGCACGAAAGCGUGGGUAGCGAAUGGGAUUAGAUA